rnacentral:rRNA from 1 species
UACGAAGGGGGCUAGCGUUGCUCGGAAUCACUGGGCGUAAAGCGCACGUAGGCGGAUUGCUAAGUCAGGGGUGAAAUCCUGGAGCUCAACUCCAGAACUGCCUUUGAUACUGGCGAUCUUGAGUCCGGGAGAGGUGAGUGGAACUGCGAGUGUAGAGGUGAAAUUCGUAGAUAUUCGCAAGAACACCAGUGGCGAAGGCGGCUCACUGGCCCGUAACUGACGCUGAGGCACGAAAGCGUGGGGAGCAAACAGG